GUCGCGUGGUGUCCGGUGCGCCCC
rnacentral:siRNA from 1 species